rnacentral:rRNA from 1 species
UGAGGAAUAUUGGUCAAUGGGCGGUAGCCUGAACCAGCCAAGUCGCGUGAGGGAAGACGGUCCUAUGGAUUGUAAACCUCUUUUGUCGGGGAGCAAGGAUCCGCACGAGUGCGGAGGCGAGAGUACCCGAAGAAAAAGCAUCGGCUAACUCCGUGCCAGCAGCCGCGGUAAUACGGAGGAUGCGAGCGUUAUCCGGAUUUAUUGGGUUUAAAGGGUGCGUAGGCGGGCUGUUAAGUCAGCGGUAAAAUCGAGGGGCUCAACCCCUUGUAGCCGUUGAAACUGGCGGUCUUGAGUGAAUGAGAAGUAUGCGGAAUGCGUGGUGUAGCGGUGAAAUGCAUAGAUAUCACGCAGAACUCCGAUUGCGAAGGCAGCAUACCGGCAUUCAACUGACGCUGAAGCACGAAAGCGUGGGGAUCAAACAGG